CGGCGGACGGGUGAGUAACGCGUAGGAAUCUACCCAGUAGCGGGGGAUAGCUCGAGGAAACUCGAAUUAAUACCGCAUACGCCCUAUGGGGGAAAGCAGGGGAUCUUCGGACCUUGCACUAUUGGAUGAGCCUGCGUUGGAUUAGCUAGUUGGUGGGGUAAAGGCCUACCAAGGCGACGAUCCAUAGCUGGUCUGAGAGGAUGAUCAGCCACACUGGGACUGAGACACGGCCCAG
rnacentral:rRNA from 1 species